ensembl:lncRNA
CAGUCACCUAAUGACCACAAGCCAAAUCAAUCAGAAUCAGAAUGAGCUUUAUUGCCAGGUAUGUUUACACAUACGAGAAAUUUGUUUUCGUGACAGAAGCAAAUCAAGGCAAUGCAAUCCCUUUCUCAUGCCUCCAUCUGAAAAGUUGGAGGAAAAAAAUAAAUAAAUAAAAGAGUCCAAAUAAUGACCCCUAUAACAUAUAGUGUUCCAAAUGUUAAGCGACUUCAGCUUAUGAUGGGUCCAACUGGUAUUUUUAUGGUGUAAGGGCUGUGUCGGCAUAAGAAAAAGCCAUGCUUUGUUUAGUGAUGUCAGUGCUGUGGCACUGGCUGGGGACAAACUGCUGCAUGCGCAGCUCCUCGUUAGUAUAGUGGACAGUAUCUCCGCCUGUCACGCGGAAGACCGGGGUUCGAUUCCCCGACGGGGAGAGCUAGCUCUUUUCUGCUUGCUGGACGACCAAUCCAAAAGUUUUUGGCGCAACCAGGGCUCACAGAAGGAGUACGGCUACGAUGUCAGCCCGAGCCAAAGGAAAUGCGUUGGCCGGGAAUCGAACCCGGGUCAACUGCUUGGAAGGCAGCUAUGCUCACCACUAUACCACCAACGCAGGCAGAAGGUGCCAGAAAUACAGAGGCUGCAAACACAGACGAUGACCAGUUGCACGUCCUCCCACCGUGUGUUGGCAGAUGGUGGUGACGCCGGAAACACAGAGGCUGCAAACACAGACGAUGACCAGUUGCACGUC